rnacentral:lncRNA from 1 species
UGUCUGUGCAUAAUGCCUGUGUCAUCUCUACAGCAGAUCUCAAGAGCAAGAGAUUUACUGCAUGAUGCCGGCCACACCUUGAGCUGCUGCUCAGGGCAACAAAGGAGGAAAAUUAAGCUGUGAACUGGAAUUCGACAAGGCUGUCUACUGUGAAGCCCCGUGGCUUUAGAAAAGGGGCAGUAGUGGUCAGAAAUGACACUCAUAAGAGAACAGACAUUUUGGGAUCCCUGCCCAGCACCCAGCCAGGCUGAUGAUGCCUUUUACCUCUCUGGGGCUGUAUUCUAUAAUUUAGAUUGUUUGGAUUGUCUUCUGGACCUACACAUCCAACAAAUAACAUGUAAUUCAUGGAAUUCCAGUUCCUGUGAAAGAGAGAAGAUGGUUUUACUUCACACAACCAUCAAAGGAAAUGAGGGAGAAUAUCUCUGCCUAGCAAUCAAAAGGCAGCCUUGGGACCAUGCAGACCUGUUGCCUGUGACACUUCAUGAAAGGAGCAAGAACAGAGACAGGGACAUGCCUAGGAAUGCACAUCCAGCUUCUCCUCAGAAAAAAAAUGCAUCUUUCCUUCUUCCUUUCCCGUCUUUACUGAACUUGCCAGAAAUGUGUUUACCAUGGAGGUGGAUUUGUGUCUUCUUUCAUGAGAAAGGCUAUCUCAUUCAGCUAACCUGCUGAGGAUCCAAAUACUUUUGGACACUCCUGACUUGUUUAAAGCAGUGACUGAAAUGGGCAGGUCUGCUGGUCCCCAUUUGGAUCCAUUCUGGUAUUAGAGAGAUGGUUUAAUUUGAAUUUCUGAGUAUUUGUGUACCAAACCAGGAACUCCACCCCUAGCUCUUUGGCAUAAGGCCCAACGACCAAGUCUUUAGGAUUUAUCUGGUUGGUGAUUGGGUAUGAAGACUUGUUUUGUUCCCUGUGUUUUUUCCUGGUUUGUUUGCGGCUUUUUUGGUAAUAUUUAUAUAUUACAAAAUAUUGUCUGACUGUAAGAGCUACUCAAGAGAGAAAGUUUAUAAGUCUUUUUUGAUGGGGUAAACCUGUUUUUUUGAGGCAUCAAUACAAAAGAUGGCAAAAAAAACCUUAGAACAGUAUAUGUUUAGAAUUCCUAAAUUCCCCUAGAUAAUGGUGGG